rnacentral:rRNA from 1 species
CCUACGGGAGGCAGCAGUGGGGGAUAUUGCACAAUGGGGGGAACCCUGAUGCAGCGACGCCGCGUGGGUGAAGAAGCGCCUCGGCGCGUAAAGCUCUGUCAGCAGGGAAGAAAAUGACGUUACCUGAAGAAGAAGCCCCGGCGAACUACGUGCCAGCAGCCGCGGGCAUACGUAGGGGGCAAGCGUUAUCCGGAUUUACUGGGUGUAACGGGGGCGCAGACGGCGAUGCAAGCCAGGAGUGAAAGCCCGGGGGCCAACCCCGGGACUGCUCUUGGAACUGCGUGGCUGGAGUGCAGGAGGGGCAGGCGGAAGUCCUGGUGUAGCGGUGGAAUGCGUAGGUAUCAGGAGGGACACCGGUGGCGAAGGCGGCCUGCUGGACUGCAACUGACGUUGAGGCCCGAAAGCGGGGGGAGCAAACAGGAUUAGAUACCCCUGUAGGC